GGGGAAUCUUGCACAAUGGGGGAAACCCUGAUGCAGCGACGCCGCGUGAGCGAUGAAGCCCUUCGGGGUGUAAAGCUCUUUCGGCAGGAACGAUAAUGACGGUACCUGAAGAAGAAGCUGCGGCUAACUACGUGCCAGCAGCCGCGGUAAUACGUAGGCAGCGAGCGUUGUUCGGAGUUACUGGGCGUAAAGAGUGCGUAGGUGGCUCUCUAAGUUUGGUGUGAAAUCUCCCGGCUCAACUGGGAGGGUGCGCCGAAAACUGGAGGACUAGAGUGUGGGAGAGGAAAGCGGAAUUCCUGGUGUAGCGGUGAAAUGCGUAGAUAUCAGGAGGAACACCUGCGGUGUAGACGGCUUUCUGGACCACUACUGACACUGAGGCACGAAAGCGUGGGGAGCAAAC
rnacentral:rRNA from 1 species